GGUCGAUACAUCUUCGUAUACCUGGCAUAUCUCACCGGUCACUGUUGGGAUUGUCGUUACACAAUGUUCCUGCAUCGUUGUAUCCACAAUCAGCCCCAAAUCUGUUUGGCUAAAAAUGUCCUUAAAUACUGUCUUUAGCAGUUCCAUUGCAAUUUGAUUAAGUGAUAGAUGAGAUACACCGAGUCCUCGGUUUAUCCUUUCCUGAAUGAUACACUGUUUUUCUGUAAAUAAUAUUUCAAACUGUAUGCCUGGAAAUACUGAAUUUUGAUGUCAAUAUAUCAGUCUUGGAAAAGUUUUUUUUUUUU